rnacentral:rRNA from 1 species
GACGAACGCUGGCGGCGUGCUUAACACAUGCAAGUCGAACGAAGUGGCGAACGGGUGAGUAAUACGUGGGUAACCUGCCCUACUUUUUGGGAUAAGCCUUGGAAACGGGGUCUAAUACCGAAUAUAGGGGGAUGGGCUAUCGGCCUAUCAGCUUGUUGGUGGUGUGAUGGCGUACCAAGGCGGUGACCGGUAGCCGGCCUGAGAGGGUGACCGGACACAUUGGGACUGAGGUACGGCCCAGACUCCUACUGGAGGCAGCAGUGGGGGAUAUUGCACAAUGGGGUAAAGACUGGUGCAGAGACGCCGCGGGGGGGAUGAAGGCUUUCGGUUUGUAAACCUCUUUCGAUAUCGAACGGGUAUGUGGAGAAGAAGCGCCGGCUAAGUACGUGCCAGCAGCCGCGGUAAUUC